UCACCGCUCCACCGCGGCAGCCGCCGCACUCGAGGAUCAACCGAGACCCUCCUGGCCUCCUGUCUUCGACGGCAUCUUCGUCCCGUCCCUCGGCAUUGAAGAUUUGGCAAGCGGUGGUGGAAGGAUCUAAUAGAGACUUGCAUGGCUGCAUCUCUCCUCAAGCACGAGCAUCCCUGAGGUUGUAGCAACAAUUUCUAUGUCGUUUUCGUCAAUAACCAGACGCUAUUCCCCUUAUCUACAAGUUUCAGGUGUUUUUGGCAGAUGAGAUUGGCAGCUUUAAGAAGAUGCGUCAUGUAUUUUGAAAUCCAGAGAAAGAUAAUAAGCAAAUCAAUUUUUAAAGAUGAUUUUGUCAACACAUCACGCCAUGAUUCAAAGGAUAAAGCUGCAGCGUGCAAAUGGGUACUCAAAGAAGUGCGUCAGAUCUUGAAAAGUUAAACAGUAGUAGUUGACAGCAGUAUGCCAGUAUAUCGGCCAUUUCAUUUUUAUUGUAUUGGGAAAACGUGUCAUCAUGGUUCCAGCUGGCUGUAGUGUAUGAACAAUUGUGUCGUAUUGAUGUAUGCACAAUAUAAUGUAUUAAAUUUUGAAUGAAA